CGGCACUGUUACGGCUCACGGCCCAGGGCUAUCCCUCGCCUGGCCUCUUUGCCACCUCGGGCUUUCCACUGGCGUCGUGAACAGCUCUUAACAUCCCUUCACCCUCACGGGUUCCAGGCAGGAUUUGUCCCUCGGGGGAGCCAUUACGGCCCGCCCUAGCCCGAGUGGAUUUGGCCCAAUUCCUUCCUCUGGGAAUUAGNNNN
rnacentral:lncRNA from 1 species